GAGCCCAGCGCCGGGCCAAUGUCCUAUCUCAGGGUUUCCCACGUCGCUCGCUCCUUGACGGCUGACCGACACUGGGUCUGAGGUGUAAGCGCUUUCCAGGCCCUUCCCUGGGGCUUGGAGGGGAAUGGCGCAAAGGACUUUUCUUACAAGCAGAGCCACUGCAGUUACCAAAGAGUAUGUCGCUUAUUGUCUAAGAGGUUGGACUCCUGAAAGCCUGGACAGUGUCAUCAUCUUCACCUGAAGAGUGGAAAAAUUCAAGCAAAGAGUUUCUCAGGAAAUGACCAAGUAAAACAUCUGGAGUAAGUCAGCAGGAUUCACAGUGACUCCCCCCAACCAGCUGGUGGUGUUUCUCUCUGAAAGCAGCGCUUGGUACCAGUGUGAACUCUCUUCCUUCAGAAGUCUCAUCAGGUGGACGUAAUACGAGGGUCUGGUCCCCCAUACCUUGAGGACUCCGCUGCCAUCUGACAAUUACAGACAAUCCAAUUGUCCUCAUCCUUGAGGACUCUGCUGCCAUCUGACAAUUAGAGACAGUCCAAAACAUGCCACACUUUGAUCCUAAACACAUUCCUGGCUUUGGUCACUUUUGAAAAGUUCCUGAGUUAUGAGAAAUCAAUAAUAAGAGUGUUCAAAACCUGAACACUCUUUUUAGAAAUACCUGCUGGAACUACAUAUAUGAUUUAUGGGGUACUGUCUUGUAGUAUCUGGGAAAGUAGACCCAUCUAACCUGGAAUGAUCAUAGGCAACAAUGACCAAAAAUGGGGAUCUUUUGAUAUACCUAAAGUAAUUUAUUUGUGCACACCAUUGGAAAGAGCUGGUUUUAGAACCAGACAUGUAAAUAAGAGACUGACUUCCACUGGCACCUAAAAACUUCUAAAAGAAAUCCUGAAAGAAAAAGUCACCUUCAUUCAAGAGGAUAUAAUUGGAGACACUUGUUAUUUUACUAAGGAUUUGACUGGAAUGACAUAUUUUCAGAUAUGACCAGACUGCUUUGAAGAAUGGAGGUUGACUCUAUAGAGGCAAUUAGAAAGCCUCUUGGAAAGACUGGCCUGGUCCCUUGUCUACGUAGUUCCCUUUCAAGAUUUCUGUCCUGUGUUAAGUAAAGAAUGUCACUUUCUGACAGGCCUGGGAACCUCAAAAUAUUUCCGCUGUGUAUCUCUCAUUGUUUUAUUUCUUCUGAGAAAACUAAAUUCAUGGUACACUGAAGAGGUGAUUCCACAAGUGAUGGCAGCUAUAAAUCAAUGACUGGUAGGACUACCUGGGCAUGAGCCUUUCUGGCAAUGAGGGAUACCUUGACACUCAGAUUUUGAUCAUCAGUGCUUUCAAAAGGAAAGAUUUUUGAUCAAAAGGAAGAAAUGAGAAAAAGAACUUUUAUCUGAAGAAUGCAAGUCCUUUCCAAUUAUCAGAUCCAGAGAGGUAUUAAAAUGAGACGGCAAUCCUGUCCUACACACACCCCCUUUUGAGGCAUGUACUCAUCUUUUUAUACUGCUUACUAUUGCCACAAGUAGCUGAAAAUUAGCCUACUGGUGCUGCACCAGACAUUAUAACCCAUAUCCUAUAGCUUAAUAAUGGAUAGCCAAUCAACAGCUUAUGUUAUGUUAAUGUAAAUUAUUGGUAAAUAACUCAGGAACUGCCUCUUCUUUCCUUUUAAAAACCCACUUGUGGGCCGGGCGUGGUGGCUCACGCCUGUAAUCCCAGCAUUUUGGGAGGCCAAGGUGGGCGGAUCACAAGGUGAGGAGAUCAAGACCAUCCUGGAUAACACAGUGAAACCCUGUCUCUACUAAAAAUACAAAAAAUUAGCCGGGCGUGGUGGCGGGC
ensembl:lncRNA MKLN1-AS MKLN1 antisense RNA